UCCCAGGUGGCUCAGUGGUGAAGAACCUGCCUGCCAAGCAGGAGACGCAGGUUCUAUCCCUGGGUGGGGAA
rnacentral:tRNA from 1 species